rnacentral:pre_miRNA from 1 species
UUCUUGCAGCUUUCCAAAAAAUUAGCCCUUCGUGGUGAAAUUUUCCAUGCUUAGUUUCAGCUCAAAGGUGAUUUUUUUCCCCUGCAAAGUUUGAGA